UAAAAAUAAAAAUAGUAUUUUCUAAUCUAGGAAGAAGAUAUAAGAAAUUGGUGAACAUUUAUAUUUAAUGUUAGAAAAGGAAGAAUUAAAAUUAGAAGAUAAAUUGACAGCUAUGGUGAGAAUAGAAAGAGAGAAUGAAGAAAUAGACAGGAAAAAGGAAAUAGAAAAAAUAAAACAACAAACUACAGAAGAAAUACGAAAAAUAGAAGAAACUAAAAAUAGUAGGAUUGCUGAAUUAGAAAA
rnacentral:lncRNA from 1 species